UACGAAGGGGGCUAGCGUUGCUCGGAAUUACUGGGCGUAAAGGGCGCGUAGGCGGGUCGUUAAGUUAGAGGUGAAAGCCCAGGGUUCAACCCUGGAAUUGCCUUUAAUACUGUCGACCUUGAGUAUGGCAGAGGUGUGUGGAACUCCGAGUGUAGAGGUGAAAUUCGUAGAUAUUCGGAAGAACACCAGUGGCGAAGGCGACACACUGGGCCAUUACUGACGCUGAGGCGCGAAAGCGUGGGGAGCAAACAGG
rnacentral:rRNA from 1 species